GCCUGAUGGGAGAAAUGUCCAGAUUGUUAAGUCCCCCAUGUAGUCCCCUACUGUAUAACCCCUGCAAUGUCAGUAGGGAAACCCCUUGCAUGGGGACUUGCAUAAAUACUGUGACUUGUGAAUAAAAGCUCAGUUGACUCCCAGAACUGUGUUUCAUCCGGUUACUGGGGGAUUUGGGAUAUUGCCUUACUUUUCAGCGCUUUACUUUGGAUUACCUUCUGUACCAGCGGAG